rnacentral:misc_RNA from 1 species
CUUGUUGACGUCAAGGCCCCG